rnacentral:rRNA from 1 species
AUUGAACGCUGGCGGCAGGCCUAACACAUGCAAGUCGAGCGGAUGAAGGGAGCUUGCUCCUGGAUUCAGCGGCGGACGGGUGAGUAAUGCCUAGGAAUCUGCCCGGUAGUGGGGGAUAACGUCCGGAAACGGGCGCUAAUACCGCAUACGUCCUGAGGGAGAAAGUGGGGGAUCUUCGGACCUCACGCUAUUAGAUGAGCCUAGGUCGGAUUAGCUAGUUGGUGGGGUAAAGGCCUACCAAGGCGACGAUCCGUAACUGGUCUGAGAGGAUGAUCAGCCACACUGGAACUGAGACACGGUCCAGACUCCUACGGGAGGCAGCAGUGGGGAAUAUUGGACAAUGGGCGAAAGCCUGAUCCAGCCAUGCCGCGUGUGUGAAGAAGGUCUUCGGAUUGUAAAGCACUUUAAGUUGGGAGGAAGGGCAGUAAGUUAAUACCUUGCUGUUUUGACGGUACCAACAGAAUAAGCACCGGCUAACUACGUG